rnacentral:rRNA from 1 species
GACGAACGCUGGCGGCGUGCUUAACACAUGCAAGUCGAACGGUGAAGCGCCUUCCUUUUUGGUGGGUGUGGAUGAGUGGCGAACGGGUGAGUAACACGUGAGUAACCUGCCCCCUUCUUCUGGAUAACCGCAUGAAAGUGUGGCUAAUACGGGAUAUUCUGGGUCUGUCGCAUGAUGGGUCUGGGAAAGAUAUUGUUUCGGUGGGGGAUGGGCUCGCGGCCUAUCAGCUUGUUGGUGGGGUGAUGGCCUACCAAGGCGGUGACGGGUAGCCGGCAUGAGAGGGUGGACGGUCACACUGGGACUGAGACACGGCCCAGACUACUACGGGAGGCAGCAGUGGGGAAUAUUGCACAAUGGGCGCAAGCCUGAUGCAGCGACGCCGCGUGAGGGAUGGAGGCCUUCGGGUUGUGAACCUCUUUCGCCAGUGAAGCAGGCCUGCCUCGUUUGUGGGUGGGUUGACGGUAGCUGGAUAAGAAGCGCCGGCUAACUACGUG